AACUAAAAUGGAUAAUUCUUGAAGAAUUUUUGUUUGGGGACGAAAUUAGCAAAUGCCGUUAUACAUUUAGCGGAUGUACCUACCUCAAAUUAUUCCAGAAGGAUGAGAUGAAAUAAUAACAAGGAAUUAAAAUUAUUUUUAAUAUAUAUCAACCAUAAUUCAAUAUCCAAUUUAGAGAACAUUUUCGUAUGUCCAGAACUACUUUCCAGGAACUAUUUAAUUGUAUUGGUCAUAUCCACCAAUUUGAAAACAGAAUAAUUCUAUUGAAAAAAAAUUAAUGUUUAGGAUUUGGAUGCUAAGUAAACCACAGAAUUUGUUGCUGGGGAUAGGUUUGGUUUGCCAAAGAGCUCUGGACAUAAGAUUUUCACCCAAA
rnacentral:lncRNA from 1 species